rnacentral:rRNA from 1 species
CACGUGGAUAAUCUACCCUUAGGUCUGGAAUAACCCCGGGAAACUGGGGAUAAUACCGGAUAGAUCAUAGAUGCUGGAAUGCCCUAUGUUCUAAAGCUCCGGCGCCUAAGGAUGAGUCUGCGGUCUAUCAGGUUGUAGUGGGUGUAACGUACCUACUAGCCGACGACGGAUACGGGUUGUGAGAGCAAGAGCCCGGAGAUGGAUUCUGAGACACGAAUCCAGGCCCUACGGGGUGCAGCAGGCGCGAACACUUUACAAUGCGGGAAACCGCGAUAAGGGAACCCCGAGUGCCAGCACCAAGUGUUGGCUGUCCAGAUGAUUAAAUCUCAUUUGUUAGCAAGGGCCGGGCAAGACCGGUGCCAGCCGCCGCGGUAACACCGGCGGCCCGAGUGAUAACCGUUUUUAUUGGGUCUAAAGGGUCCGUAGCCGGUCUGAUCAGUCUUUUGGGAAAUCUGGCAGCUUAACUGUCAGGCUUCUAAGAGAUACUGUCAGGCUUGGGACCGGGAGAGGUAAGGGGUACUCCAAGGGUA